rnacentral:rRNA from 1 species
GAUGAACGCUAGCGGCAGGCCUAACACAUGCAAGUCGAGGGAGAAGCCCUUCGGGGCAGAAACCGGCGCACGGGUGCGUAACGCGUAUGCAACCUACCUUUCACAGGGGGAUAGCCCGAAGAAAUUUGGAUUAAUACCCCAUAAUAUUAUUGGAUGGCAUCAUUUGAUAAUUAAAAUUACGAUGGUGAAAGAUGGGCAUGCGUCCUAUUAGCUAGUUGGAGUGGUAACGGCACCCCAAGGCUACGAUAGGUAGGGGUCCUGAGAGGGAGAUCCCCCACACUGGUACUGAGACAGGGACCAGACUCCUACGGGAGGCAGCAGUGAGGAAUAUUGGUCAAUGGUCGGAAGACUGAACCAGCCAUGCCGCGUGCAGGAAGAAUGCCUUAUGGGUUGUAAACUGCUUUUAUAUGGGAAGAAUAAGGAGUAGCGUGUACUUUGAUGACGGUACCAUAUGAAUAAAGC